GAGAGUAUAGGUUGGGUGGUAAAACACAUGCUUAGCAUCCACGAGGUCCUGGGUUCAAUCCCCAGUACGUCCU
rnacentral:tRNA from 1 species